GUUGAGAACUACAGGUCUAAAUGUUGUGAUUCACAAGAAUUCAAAGCAACAUAAUAAGGGGAAAGGGGAAGCUCCCCCUCCUCCCACCUUCCAUGGAACUAACGUCUAACUGGAAGUUAUCCAUCUUUCAACUGUGGCCUUCGGGUAGGGAACCAAACUUGGGAAACAUAGUAGAAAAGAAUCUGUCAAGGAAAUCCACAUUUGAGACGGAGAGCUGAAAGCCAAGAUUCCAGAGAGGGUAUUGUCUCCCGAAAAUCAAGGCUGAAGCAGAGGGAAUGAACAAAUUCCAUUUCUAACAGUGCCCCACUGUGCUGGACAUGUGUGAAGGAUGGCCCCAGGAUGCCAGAUCAGAUUGUUGUAUGGACCUAAUGCUACCUGUGUGCAUAUGUGGAUGCUUAGUACCUCAGUCAUGCCCAACUCUUUGUGACCCCAUGGACUGCAGCCCACUAGGAGUCUCCUCUGUCCAUGGAAUAUUCCAGGCAAGAAUACUGGAGUGGGUUGCCAUUUCCUUCUCC